CUCAUCAAACUUUACACUGAUUUAUUUUAUUUUUAAUGUUUGACCUAUUGAUUUUGGCUCAAACUAACAGACCCUUAGUGAAUGGACAUUUUUUUUAACUUUUUAAUACAUUUAUCUAUUGAAGAUGGAAUGACAAGCUGUGGUCAGAGAACAACUUUCAGGGAACCUUCCAUCACGUUCUCUAUGUAUUCCUGGCUGGCCUGGAACACAAUAUGGAUUCGCCUGCCUCUGCUUCCCUGAGUCUGGGAUUAAAGGCAGUGUUCUCGUGCAUGUAUGCCUGCAGGCCAGAAGAGGGCACCAGAUCCCAUUACAGAUGGUUGUGACCUACCCCUGUGGUUGCUGGAGAUUGAACUCGGGACCUCUGGAAGAGCAGCCAGUGCUCCUGACCUCCGAGCCAUCUCUCCAGCCCUACACAUAAUUUUAAAAUAAAUCUUUUUAA
rnacentral:lncRNA from 1 species